rnacentral:rRNA from 1 species
UACGUAGGGUGCGAGCGUUGUCCGGAAUUAUUGGGCGUAAAGAGCUCGUAGGCGGUUGUGUCACGUCGUUCGUGAAAACCUGGCAGCUUAACUGUGGGCGUGCGGUCGAUACGGGCAUCACUGGAGGUUCGGCAGGGGAGACUGGAAUUCCUGGUGUAGCGGUGAAAUGCGCAGAUAUCAGGAGGAACACCGGUGGCGAAGGCGGGUCUCUGGGCCGAUACUGACGCUGGAGGAGCGAAAGCGUGGGGAGCAAACAGG